rnacentral:lncRNA from 1 species
AUUGUGUACUAUGAGAUUAAAUAUAUCUAUUAGGCUACUAGCCUUUACCAUCAUCAUUACAAGUCCAUGAAUGUUAAAAUGUACAGGAGGAAUUGUGAAGAUUUACUGACAUCAAAAGUUCUUCUGGAAACAAACUUUGUAAAAAAAAAAAAAGAUGUAUUAAAUUAUUUUAAUUGUGGGAAAAAAAAAGCAAGUGGCAAAUUUUAGUCUUGUCAGUCUUCCAAAGAUCAACACACUCUAGCUUCCCUUCCACCUUGUCUCAUACACAGGCAUUUCUGAGAUGAAAGAAGUGGGCCCUGCCAUUGAACAGAAUUUAUGCAUUUAAAUAUUCAUCAUUUCUGUGAAAAAGAGAAGAAAAUGAGCCUGCAUGGCAUAGUGAGUCUGCAACUGUGAACUCGGGAAAUCCUGUACCUUCCCGUGCAGUCGCUCCCCAGCCAUGCAGGUAUUUCCAGAGCCUGGAGAUCCCAGACUACCUUUCAAAAGAAUGAAUUCCAGACCCAGAGAGUCCCCUGGAGGAGAUUCAUGGCAAGCAGCCGUACGAAAUAACAGAAGCCCCAGAGAGGGGAAGCAAUUUCCUGCCUAAGUCGUCCAUCUGUCAGUGGCAAAGCUAGGACUGGAACUCAGGAUUCUCCAUCCCUCUUCCCAAACCUGGCACUAUCUUCCUGGCUUUCUGGGUCUGGAGUCCCAUGUUAGAGGCCCUCUGUUUUCAGAGCAGGACUCAUUGAAUAUGUGUGCUCUUUCUACUCAAGUGCUUCAAGGAUCCUUCCUGGAAAAGCCUCGGUUCCGGACCAGUGCUGUCAUGGCCUCACCAUGUCAUAGAAUUCCCAUCAUUUCACUUGUGACUCCCUUCUUCCUAGGACCCGGGCAUAAAUUCUUGAAGAGUUGAUCUGAGUGACAGACUCCCACGCUAUGCCAAAAACGGCCUCUUAUUUCCCAAUGAUUGAGACCUUUUAUUUGAUCAAUCUCAUGUGCUCACUGGACCCCAGUGAUACCUUCACAUACCUGACACCUCAGGGAAACACAGCUUCCGUUCAAGUCAAGAUCCUUGCUAUACUGCAAACUCUUAUGAAACGUCUAGGAGAAUUUUCAGGCUCCUUUGUAUAUGGAAAAAGGUCAGAAUGAAGCUCCAAAUUCUUCAGCAUGUGUAAAAACUUAAGACAACCAUAUUUUAUUUUUGUUUUAUUUUUUAUUUUUUUCAUUGUUUUUUUUUUUGAGACAGCCUUGCUCUGUUGCCUAGGCUGGAGUGCAGUGGCGCGAUCUCGGCUCAUUGCAACUUCCACCUCCUGGGUUCAAGCGAUUCUUGUGCCUCAGCCUCCCAAGUAGCUGGAAUUACAGGCAUGCACCACCAUUCACAGCUAAUUUUUGUAUUUUUAGUAGAGAUGGGGUUUCACCAUGUUGGCCAGGCUGGUCUCGACCUCCUGACCUCAGGUGAUCCAGUCGUCUUGGCCUCCCAAAGUGCUGGGAUUACAGGCAUGAGCCCCUGUGCCCAGCCAACAACUACAUUUUAAAGCAACUUUAUUCUCAACUGAAUGACAUUUUAAUCACUUUCUUGCCCAUGUGGAUAUGGAUAAGGAUAUUUUGCCAAUAUUCUUGUUUGUGUUUGACUGUGAUGCUAUUGUUAUACAAAGAAUGGGCAGGUGGAGCUAAGCAGAAAGAGACAGUCGGGUACCUGUACCAUGGAAAAUGGAAGAGAGCCAAGCAGACUGCAUCCUUAGGGGGCAGGGAGGUCAGUGCAAGUUGGGACAAAGCCUAGCUGAGUCGGUGAGCACUUCAUGGCAGACUAGUCAAAUUAUAUCUCUUGGACUAAGAUCUUCAUUAAAGGCCUGCACCUCAGAGACAUUUCAGCCUACCAAGGUGCAUCAUUAUGGAAGACUGGGCAUGAUAAUAGUAAUUUAAAUGAAGUUAAAAGAGCAGUCUAAAUUAGAACAGGUAUUCACAUUCCAAUUUCUCUUGAGAAGAGCCUCUGUUGGAUAAAGAAAACUCGCUGAGCAAAAUAAAUCGAUUGGAGGUAAACUUUACCAGCCCUGGAGUGCAAGGUUUAGAAACAUGCACACAUCCCACGGUGUUAAGGGUCCUGCUGUUUUCUUCCAUGUCAUUUCAUCACAGAACAAUUUUCUACAGCAACCUGAUCUACCUUGUGGCCCAGUAAGGCAUGUUUUGUUUUGAGAUGGAGUCUCACUCUGUCGCCCAGGCUGUAGUGCAGUGGCGUGAUCUCCGCUCACUGCAAGCACUGCCUCCCGGGUUCACGCCAUUCUCCUGCCUCAGCCUCCCAAGUAGCUGGGACUACAGGCGCCCGCCACCAUGCCCGGCUAAUUUUCUGUAUUUUUAUUAGAGACGGGGUUUCACCAUGUUAGCCAGGAUGGUCUCGAUCUCCUGACCUCUGGGAUCUGCCCGUUUCGGCCUCCCAAAGUGCUGGGAUUACAGGUGUGAGCCACCGCUCCCAGCCAAGCAUGUGAGAGUUUUAAAUCAAAUGUUACCUUGUCCCUAUUAGCCUUACCACUGCUAAAUAUCUACACGGUUCCCUGUUAAGGAGAGUUUCUAAAUGACUCUCUUGAGAAAUCCUGGAUAAAUGGAGAAUGGAGCAUUUUUCCUGCCUCUAAGCUUUGCUCCACUGCAAUCUUUCACAUGCUGUGUAUCCAGAGGGUGACUGCCAGAUAGCUUCUUGAAGAAAGGGAGGAGGAAACGGUCAUUUUCUUGCUGCGCUUUCUAACACCCAACAGAGGAAAUGCACAGCAUAGGUGUGUGGGAGUUUGGCUGACUUAUGGUAAAAAAUAAACAUGGUUUCCUGUUUGUCUCUUGUUUCCAUUCCUUCCUUCCUUCAUUUCAUUCUUAUUUUCAUUCAAGCGGUGAGGAGUGACUGGUACUUCCUGCCAGGAAUAACAUUUUAUGAGGGCAAAGAAGGUGUCAUUUGGGGACCAAAAAAUAUCAGUCCUUCUUGCAGGCUUCCAAAAAUUCUCACCUUUCACUCAUCAAUCAGUAUCAUUCCUUAAACUAAUGUUGAGUAUUUUAACUUGUGCUAAAUCAUCCUGUUAUUUGGAAUGCUGAAAGACUGGCAUCUUGAUGCAUUAUAAUUUUCUCAUAUAUCUGAUUAGCUUGGAGCAAUUCCAAGUGCACAGCAUAUUCCAUUACCCAUUUGUCCAUCCACCUACACACCCACCCACCUUUCCAUCCAUGCAUCCAUCCAUCCAUGCAUCCAUCCAGCCAGCCAUCCAUCCAUCCAUUCAUCCAUCUACCUACCCACCCACCCACCUUUCCAUCCAUCCAUCCAUGCAUCCAUGCAUCCAUCCAUCCAUCCAUCCAUGCAUCCGCCCAUCCAUCCAUCCAUCCAUCCAAAGAAGGAAAUGAGUUGAGUGUUCUGUGUUGAAGAGACAGACAGUGCAAAGGCACUGAGGAAUAACAAGCUUGGUGUGUUUUGUUUGUUUGUUUCUUUUAGAUACAGAUUCUUCCCAUGUCACCCAGGCUGGGGUACAGUGGCAUGAUCAUAGCUCACUCUAGCCUAGAACUUCUGGGCUCAAGAGAUCCUCCUGCAUCACCCUCUCAAGUAGGUAGGACUGCAGGCACAUGCUAUCACAUCCAGCUAAUUUUUAAAUAUUUUUUGUAGAGAUGAGGUCUCACUGUGUUGCUCAGGCUGGUCUUGAACUCCUGGCCUCAAGUGGCUUUCCAAAGUGCUAGGAUUAUAGGCGUGAACCACUGUGCCCGGCCAAGCUUGGUGUAGAUUACUGAGCUGAAGCAUAGUGAAGUGUGGAGAGAAGAGGUAGAGAAAAGGUGGGAGGGGGAAGGGGAGAUGGAAGGAAAGGGGAGAAAUUGGGGGCCAUACCAAGGAGAGCCCUGUAGACCAUUGUUGAAGACUUCUGGUCACUUUAUUCUCAAUGCAAUGGGAGCCCACUGCAGGGGGCUUUAAUCAAAGGGAUGACAUAAUGUAAUUUACAUUUCAGAAGCAUCACUUUGGCUGCUAUGUGGAGAAUAGACUUUAGGAUGGCAAGGAUAGAAGUUAAAGGUCCAGGCCGGGCUUGGUGGCUCACACCUGUAAUCCCAGCACUUUGGGAGGCCGAGGCGGGCGGAUCACGAGGUCAGGAGAUCGAGACCGUCUUGGCUAACACGGUGAAACCCCGUCUCUACUAAAAAUACAAAAAAAAAAUUAGCUGGGUGCGGUGGCGGGCGCCUGUAAUCCCAGCUACUCAGGAGGCUGAGGCAGGAGAAUGGCGUGAACCUGGGAGGCGGAGCUUGCAGUGAGCCGAGAUAGCGCCACUGCAGUCCAGCCUGGGCGAAAGAGCGAGACUCUGUCUCAAAAAAAAAAAAGAAGUUAAAGGUCCAAGAGAAAGGUAGCGGUGCUGAUGGAGACAAAGGGACAGAUUGAGGAUGUGGAGCUCAUAGGGUUUGCUGGUGGAAUGGACAUAGAGUGAGAGGGAAAGAAAUUAACCAACGAUGGCUUCCAGGUGCAGGGUUUGAGCAAUCGGUUGAACACUGACAUCCUGGCUGGGACAACAAACACUGAGGGGUAGUCAGACGUGGGGAGCAGGGAACAACUAACAGCUUUGUUUUAGAUACUGAAGUUUGCAGCAUCUAUGAACCCUGUGACAGAAGGUGCCUAGUAGGCAGGAGCAUAUAUAAGAGGAGUCCAGGAGAGGUCAGGCAGGAGAUAGACAUUUGGAAGUCAUCAGCACAUGGAAGAUAUUUAACACUGUGAGACUACAAAAAAUAACCUAGAAAAGAGUGUUGAUAGAGAAGGAAUGCUGGAGAACUCCAGCAUUUAGAGAUUAGUAAGAAGAGGAGGAGCCAGCAAAGAGGAGGUUGAAGUCAUUAUCAGAUCAGUUUGUAGCUUGUGAGCAUAGGGAUCAUGCCCCACAAACAGGAGUUUUUACUGAGGCUUGGAAAAGUCUGAUCUUCCAUAUCAGAAAUCAACAUUUUGCAGGUACAUUGGCUAUUAGGGCUUUUCAGCUGAAUCAGUUACUCUGCAUAAUAUAUAUCCUGCAUGGAGUAACUUAAAAGUUUUGGGAAGCAGGAAAAAGAUAUGAUUUCUAUGGUCCUUAGAAACAUUGCCUAGUGAUCUAGGGACCUGGAGAAAUUCCACAUUAUUGAAGUCAAGAUGUUCCAUAUCUAUUCUCUGUUUAUCUAGUUAGGUCAGUGCAGUGGUAAGAAGAAGUCGAGAGCCUGGAUUCUGGUCUUGUCCUCAUCAUCUACUAGCUGGGUGACUUCGAGCAAGGUGAUUAACUUCUUUGAGCUUUCCUUCCAUUAAUAUACCAUAUUGAGUUGUUAGCAAUACUCGUAGGAUUUUGUGUGUGUGUGUGUGUGUGUGUGUGUGUGUGCAUGUGUAUACGUAUGUGAAGAAUGCUGGAGAUAGCGCAUGAAAAGUACUUAGCACAUGGUUAGAGCUCUGUAAAUGGCCAUUUUUAUAGUGAUAGUUAUUGUAUCCAUCUUCUUCCCUUCAGACUCUGUUCUGCUCCACAUUGUGCUCAUUUCUUACUUUUAUCAAGAUUUUCCUCCAUUUUGCAAUGUUUUUUCUCCUCCUUUCUGCCUUUCCACUUCCUACCAGUCUCCUCUUCCAUGUCUUUUAUUCAAACAUUUUUAAGCUUGGCCUGUGUGUUAAGUUCUGUGCCUGGAAAUGAACACCAUAAACUCUUCCCUAAUUAUCUCAGCUUACCAUCUAUCUUCCACCCAUUCAGCCACCCACCCCCCCGUCCACUCACCCAUCCAUCCGUCC